rnacentral:tRNA from 1 species
GGUGGCUCAAUGGUAGAGUGCCUGCCUCGAAUGCAUGAGGCCCUGGGUUCGAUUCCUCAGCACCA